UACGUAGGGGGCGAGCGUUGUCCGGAGUUACUGGGCGUAAAGAGCUCGUAGGCGGUUUGUCGCGUCUGCUGUGAAAACCUAAGGCUCAACCUUGGGCUUGCAGUGGGUACGGGCAGACUAGAGUGCGGUAGGGGUGACUGGAAUUCCUGGUGUAGCGGUGGAAUGCGCAGAUAUCAGGAGGAACACCGAUGGCGAAGGCAGGUCACUGGGCCGCAACUGACGCUGAGGAGCGAAAAGCAUGGGGGAGCGAACAGG
rnacentral:rRNA from 1 species